rnacentral:rRNA from 2 species
CUUGACGACCAUAGAGCAUUGGAACCACCUGAUCCCAUCCCGAACUCAGCAGUGAAACGAUGCAUCGCCGAUG